UGGGUCUUAGGUGUACCUGACUAUGUUCCAAAAGUUCAGGGUUACCUUCUAGUACUAGGAUGCGCAAGUAAAAAGAUUCAACUUGGCCUACCCUUCUUUAUUGGGUAAAAAGAUACCUUGUGAAAAAAUGACAAAAUUGAGGUACAAAUAAGAGAGAGAAGGACACUACAUUUGUCGGAUAGAAAGGGUACAGUCACUGAAAAAGCAUACAGAGAAUUUCAUACCUUGAUUUUAGAACCCUAGCCGUCACUACCCAUAUUCUACCAUCAUCCACCAUUGGAAACCAUCAUAGUUACCUUUUAUGAAGGAUUUGUGUUAAAGGAAAGGAACUUGCAAACAAGCUGAGGAUGG
rnacentral:lncRNA from 1 species